rnacentral:rRNA from 1 species
GAUGAACGCUGGCGGCGUGCCUAACACAUGCAAGUCGAACGGAGAUUAUGGACGGAAGUUUUCGGAUGGAAGUUUGUAAUUCUUAGUGGCGGACGGGUGAGUAACGCGUGGGCAACCUGCCCUAUACAGGGGGAUAGCAGCUGGAAACGGCUGGUAAGACCGCAUAAGUCGGUUAAAUCGCAUGAUUUGACCGGGAAAUGAGCAAUCAGGUAUAGGAUGGGCCCGCGUCCGAUUAGCCAGUUGGCAGGGUAAAGGCCUACCAAAGCGACGAUCGGUAGCCGGACUGAGAGGUCGGACGGCCACAUUGGGACUGAGACACGGCCCAAACUCCUACGGGAGGCAGCAGGGGGGAUAUUGCACAAUGGAGGAAACUCUGAUGCAGCGACGCCGCGUGAGUGAAGAAGUAUUUCGGUAUGUAAAGCUCUAUCAGCAGGGAAG